rnacentral:lncRNA from 1 species
CUGUAUGUGGGGUUGUUAGAGAAGAAUGUGAUUGUCAGCCCUAACAAUCCAUUCUAGCACCUCACCAGGCUCUGAAAAAGACUUCAUUGAUGACGUGUUCCAUCUAUUCCAGGGGACAGCAGAGGAACUUCAUCGAUUCCACUCCUUCAUCAAUACAAGCAGUAAACAUCUGAAAUUCACCCUCACCUUUCAUGUGCAUGAAACAAGUUAUCUGGACAUUUUGAUUAAGAGGGAGAAGGGUGGAUUAAGCACAGACCUAUACAGGAAGCCGACGGACAGGAAUUCCCUGUUACGCGGAGACAACUUCCACCCUACACCCCUAAUAAAACAAUUGGAACCAGAUCAUGACUACAGCUCAGUUACUAAGUCUUUAACCACACUGUGUUGUUACACUGUCAGCAGAUGGACUAGAUGCCUCUUAGGCCGCCCAUUGUGACUCCAUCAAGAAUUCAGCAGAACAAGUUUGUAUGAAGGUCUGGCUAUUAAAUGGGUACAUAGUUCAAUAGUAAUAUCCUCUAAAACGCUCUGGUGACAAACUUUGCUGCCCUGUUUCCAGUUGUCCACAUGGCUGGGAGAACCUAUUCAAGUAGCUAGCUAACAGCCAUGGAGGA